rnacentral:misc_RNA from 1 species
AGAGGCGCGGCGUCAGUUCGAC